UACGGGGGGGGCAAGCGUUGUUCGGAAUUACUGGGCGUAAAGGGCUCGUAGGCGGCCAACUAAGUCGGACGUGAAAUCCCUCGGCUUAACCGGGGAACUGCGUCCGAUACUGGAUGGCUUGAGAUUGGGAGAGGGAUGCGGAAUUCCAGGUGUAGCGGUGAAAUGCGUAGAUAUCAGGAGGAACACCGGUGGCGAAGGCGGCUUGCUGGGCCAGUUCUGACGCUGAGAAGCGAAAGCAUGGGGAGCGAACAGG
rnacentral:rRNA from 1 species